rnacentral:rRNA from 1 species
GGUAUUUUGACUAUACGAAGGUAUUGAAAUAAGGCUUUAAUUGAGUGCUAAGACAAUGGUUUAACAAAAAUCACCUUUUUUUCAACUUUAAAUAAAAGUUAAUUUAAAAAUGAAAAAGUUUUUAUGAAAAUUUGGGACAAGAAGACCCUAUGAAUUUUUUUUGUAUAAUUAUUUAUUAUUUAUAGUAAGGAAAAUAAAAUAGUUUUACAAGUUGAUUGGGGUGAUUUUUAAAGAAUAUGUAUCUUUAAAAUAGAAGGAAUUAGUACCAUUAUUUUUGAUUAUUUGAAAAAAAUACUCUAAGGGAUAACAGCGUAAUUAUUUUGGAUAGUUCAUAUGGAUAAAAUAGUUUGCUACCUCGAUGUGGGAUUAAGAUACGUCUAUAAUGAAGUGUUUAUAUUAAGGAGUUUUCUCAAGUUUUAAAGUCUU